UUACGGUCAUAUUACGCUGAAACAUUGGUUCCCGUACGAUCAGCGAAGUUAAGCAACGUCGAGCCUGGUCAGUACCAAGAUAGAUGAGCGCUUGGAAAUACCAGGUGCUGUAA